rnacentral:rRNA from 1 species
CCUACGGGAGGCAGCAGUGAGGAAUAUUGGUCAAUGGCCGGAAGGCUGAACCAGCCAAGCCGCGUGAGGGAGGAAGGCGCAGAGCGUCGCAGACCUCUUUUGCCGGGGGACAAAAGGCCGGACUCGUCCGGUCCUGAGGGUACCCGGAGAAAAAGCAUCGGCUAACUCCGUGCCAGCAGCCGCGGUAAUACGGAGGAUGCGAGCGUUAUCCGGAUUCAUUGGGUUUAAAGGGUGCGCAGGCGGGCCGUUAAGUCGGCGGUAAAAUCGCGGGGCUCAACCCCGCCGAGCCGUUGAAACUGGUGGUCUUGAGUGCGUCGGAGGCAUGCGGAAUGCGCGGUGUAGCGGUGAAAUGCAUAGAUAUCGCGCAGAACCCCGAUUGCGAAGGCAGCGUGCCGGGCCUCCACUGACGCUGAGGCACGAAAGCGCGGGGAUCGAACAGGAUUAGAUACCCGAGUAGUC